rnacentral:lncRNA from 1 species
GGUGAGGCCCUGCCCCGAGCUGCCAACCCCGCACCGGGCACCUGGGCAGCUACGACCGGCCUCAGCGGUGCCGUAAGGCCUGCUGCUAUUUUAUUUUUCCCCUAAGCGCUUGGUAGAUCGUUUCUAAGUUGGAAACGUCUCUUUUAAAAUUCUAGGUAAGAGGUGCUGGAAGCGGAGUCAGCGAAGGCGCAGGAACUCCGACCCUCCCGCCCGUAACGGAGAGGCUUAGACAACGCAGUGGUCAGUUUGCUGAUUGCCAGUUCACUUUACUGCUCCAAACUUUGCUAACUCUGUACUGGCAGUGAACUCGAAACAUUCUAGAGAAGAGGAAAAGAAGCUUCUUGUUCCCUCAGAUGAAUCUCU